UAAACCAGUCAGGCCCUAAGUGA
rnacentral:siRNA from 1 species